GAUCACGGCCCAGACUCCUACGGGAGGCAGCAGUGGGGAAUAUUGGACAAUGGGCGAAAGCCUGAUCCAGCAAUGCCGCGUGAGUGAUGAAGGCCUUAGGGUUGUAAAGCUCUUUUACCAGGGAUGAUAAUGACAGUACCUGGAGAAUAAGCUCCGGCUAACUCCGUGCCAGCAGCCGCGGUAAUACGGAGGGAGCUAGCGUUGUUCGGAAUUAUC
rnacentral:rRNA from 1 species